AUGAAAGAGAGCCUCGGAACGAGAAAUACGAAAAUGCAGAAAAUGAAGCUGCUUUGGGCAGUUGUUCGUGUGUUAUGCCUCUUCCUACUCCUUUCUCAGUGCAACUGCCAAAGAGGGCCUGUACCACCUAGCGGUCGGUACAAUGAUUUAGAUAAACCAUCACCACAGCCACCGAGGGGUGGCCCGCCGCAGCGUCCAUGAAAACCAGCGAACCAGAUCUGUGUAGAGCUUCGAAGCAGCCUCUUAUUUGAAGUUUGAAGAUUAAAGGGAUGUUAUGCAAUAAAAUAAAUAAGUUUUUGUUUACCUUCUUAUUAAGGUAUUAUGGAUGAAGUGAUUUAAUAUUUCCAAGACUUCACCGGCACUAAUUGGCGAACACGUCAAUGAUCCAAGCCGUACAUUAGGAUGACCACCUCUUGGAUAGGCUAUUGGUCAAAUCCCAGAUUGAUCGGAUGGUCUGAUCCUCGCGAAAAGUAUCCAUCAAUUGGAUGGUUAGGCCAUGCAAUUUAAUGGAUACUGCAAGCUAAUAAGAGGUGGUUGUUCUGAUUUGGGUUUGGGGAAAUGGCCAAUCUAAGAAGUGGUCAUUCCAAUGGACGGUUCAGAUCAGUUCACCAAUGAAGGUCGGUGACUAUUGGUGAGGGUUUACAUAUAAUAAUUUAUGUAAAUAAAGAGGCAUUCUAGCAAUCAAGCUCUACUCUUUCUACU